CUGCAAACGAAUGUUGCAUGUUGAAGAUGGCCAGGAUAUUUGCAAAAAGGAUAAUAGAGAUCUGGACAAAACACACAUAAUAGUAUCUGAUACAUGGAAACAGAUAUGUUUGUGGAGAGAGAAAUAAAAGGGAAAUACUGAUCCAAAAUCCUAUCCGUACAUGAUGCUUUUGUUUCAGUUUUGUAAAAUUUGUGCCUUCUGAUGUCUGGGCACACCUAGCGAGAAAAUAUCAAAGAAAUUCAACAAUUUUCUGGCUUGAUUAUCGAAAAUGCUAUGUUGAAAGAACCUAUGAGGUGAGGCACAGCAAGACGGACAGUGUGCCUACAUCUUUCAAGUUUACAACUGUCAAAUUUGUUAAACUAUGCUAUUUUUAGUGAAAUUACAAUUUGGAACUGGCACAUUGAUUCCACACAGUUGGAGCCUGCUUCAAUGCCAGUGAACAUACUUUGAUUUAUUGCUCUUUUAUUCAGGUCAGGAACCAUAACCUUGGGUGCAGCCAACUCAUCGGUCUCUGUGCUUGAGACAAGAGGUGAAUAUGGCCUUUAGAAUUAAAACAGUUUAUGCUAUGAGGGAGAAGAUGACCUGAAACAAAUUUUCUGUAAUUAGCUAUAACUAAAUUUGCCUGCAACUUAAUGAAACAGACAACAGGAUAGGAAAAGAGAGUUGGUUAUUAUUAAGGAAAAUGAAAUCUGGAAGUUGAGAAUGAGCUUAAAUAAAAAAAAAAAAAAAAAAAAAAACAACCAAAAGAAAACAGAUAACCACCAAGAUAAUCAUUUCUUAGAUAAAUGGGGACUGGAAGAAUUUUAAGGAGGUGUCACUAGAAACACCGUAAGUAUCUUGAAGUAAGACCAGAAAACAAUAAACAUCUGACAAUAUUUAAUUUCUCUCAUCCAUUCAACCUCAGUUCAAAUGUUACUUGUGCAUUCUCUAUACUUUGAUCAAUAAUGUACCAGUAUGUGAAGAACAAGCAACAUCAUCUGCACUCAAACAAAGAAAAGAAAACACAGUAAAGUUGAGGGAGGUGCUAAGAAGGAGAAGAGACAUGGUCCUUGAAAUGCCCUUUCUCAAAAUUAGGAGGAGAAAGAUGGCAGUUACACAAGAAAAAUUAGAAACGUAAGCAUCCAUUGCUUCCUUCAAAACCAACACAUUUCAUUUGAAUCUUCUGAAGACCUGUAUAAUAACAGGAGGCGUUUACUGCACUGUGCUGAGUACAAGAACUGUCUCCAUUAGUGCUACUAGGAGACAAUGAAAGGAAAUUCAACCUUUUUUGCAACCUGACAAAUCACUAACAGUCCCUCUCAGUCUGAUGGUGGCUAUGUUUGAAAAGCCUAAUGUUAUGACAGAUGUCAAGGAGAAGCAUAUAAAAAAAAAGGCAAUCUUAAAACAAAAUCCAUGAAAAUAUGUAACUUGUAAACCUGGCACUAUUCCUUUAAAGUGAAAACAAUUAAGCACCAUUUUAAGCAAAGUAGCCAGAGGGAAUGACAGAAAUCAAAUAUUUUUAUUUCCAGAUUAAGUAACAUUAAGAGAAGAAAAACACAAAACACAAAGAAUAAAAAGGAUUGGUUCUGCAUUGCUAAACCAUAAGGGACAAAAAACAGUGUUGGCAUAACAUUUUUCAUUAACUACAGUAAAAGCAAAACGUACAUAUCAGUGUUACACAUCCUCUUCUUGCCUAAGGCUCUGAUUAAGUUCCCCAAACUUCUUUUGCUCUACAGCUUUUAAUGCACCACCACAUAUUUUUCUGCUAUCAUUGAACAUGUCAGAGAAAUAUCUCUGCAGCACACUAAAUCUAGGUUAAGAAUCAUGGAAACAACAAAUUUUUUUUUCUUACUUGAGAUAAAAAAGCGGCGAUGGUAAGGGAUUUUUUCUAGUUAACUACAUCCGUAUCUGAGAAAUAACAGCCAUGGUUUUGUUACAGCCACAAGUACUCAGGUCACCCAAAGUAAUUGGUGGGUAAUGGCCGCUUGGAGAAUUUAUUUUGCAUAAGAAACCGUCCUGAUACGAAUUGGUACAAGUGGCAUGGCCUCUUCCCAUAUAAAUUCCUUUCAAUUUCUGGUAUAUGCUAUAUGUGCUUAAGGGAAUACAGCAGAGGAAUAUGCAGUCUCUGGAAAUUUACUGAACCACAAUAAGAAAGAAUAGUUCCUUAAUUUUUCACCUCACUGCAUCUCCGAACUGUACAACACUUCCUUGACAGAAUUCCCUUUUCUUUACAAAAGGCCAUAACAUUUACAGUCCACAAUAACUGCUGGGUUGUGACAUCAGUCUUUGUGAAGGCAGGAAAACAGUACUCCUGACACAGACAUCCAGACUGGUGAAGACUGAACAGUUACUGGUUCACACCUAUUUGGAUAACAACAUACGUGCAUACAUUCAGGUGCUCAUAACUUCUCCCUCCUCUUGUUUCUAAAACAGGAAUUUUUUCUUCCAUGUUGUUUAGGAUCCACAGAGGGGAAAGGAAAGCCGUAUAAUGAGAUGCAGUAGAGUGCACAUAGAAAUAAUAUAGAGUAUAUAGAUAAUAUGGAUGUAAUAAAAGAAUAAAAACUGCUAACAAACUUCCCUUUGCAAGCAAGAUUUCCACUGUGCAACACACAAAUAGAACAGUACCUACUUCACCCUCUCCAGCCUCAUGAACUUUUGGGAAGUGGGGUAAUAUUUCAGUAUUAAUAAAAUAAGAUCAGCUGUUAAACUGAUACAGAAAUCAUCUUUGGGCACUAGCAAGCCAAAUUUUCCUUGCAGCAUGAAGGAAGAAAUUUUCAUCAGUUUAAAAAUGAUGUUUUGUGUAUUUGACUUACACAGAUACUCCCUUCACAAAGAUACAUGCUUCCUAACAGAGGAGCAAACUGCAUCUAAAAUUUCCUCCUCCUCCUCCACAGGACAUUACAGAGCAGCUGCAAAAACUGGGUUUAUCAAGUUCACAUACAAAUAGCCACCUUGGAGGAAAGAUGGCACAUGGAUCUCCUCCCUCAGCUCCUCUCAGCAGCCCAGAGGUUGCCUGCAGUACUGGGACAGCUGCUGAUAGGUGGGCAGCUGAUGAAUGACACAUGCUUAGAGGGGAAAUCCAUGGAAAGAUAGGAAUGAUCUGCAUUUUUCACCAAAUUAAAACUAAGGGGAAAAAAAAGACGCAUCAACUACCGAAUGCUGAAAUCUAACUGAACUGCUGAGCAUACCCUUUAAGUGAUAUUUCUAUAAACAGCUUGGAAAGCCAAUAAGGCACGCGAGAAAAUUUACUAUUAUUUUAGACUUUUGCAGACAAACUUGUUCUAAAGGCAUUUACAUAGGUGUGGAGAUUGAUGUAAGAAUACUGAGCCGUGCACUUCGUUUUAUAUUUCAAACCUUGACUGACUUUUUCAGGCACCAUUAAUAUCUCCUUUAUGUACUGAGGUUUGCGUGAAGCAAAUGUACAAUCUGUGCGCAUUGUCAGACUUAAAACCAUUGAGAUAAUGCCUUGGGAGAGAGGUCCACAAAUAAGCGGUCACUCCUACCAGCAAUAAGGUUUAUGCUUAAGUGAGGUUUCUACUCUGCACCCCUCCCUGCAGAAGCAGAGGACCAAACACAAUUGUGCUUGUAGUGAUCAAAAAGAAGUAUAGGUAUUUUCAGCAUUUUUAUGCCAGCAACCCAGUUAGCUCUUAAAUGAAUGAACCCAAGCAAUUCGUGCAAGGAGCUCCAUCAUCUGACACAGCUGCAUUGAUAUCCAGGUUAGAACUCCAGAACUAAAUAUUUGCAUUAUAUCUGUGAUAUUAGAUCCUCACCAAGCCUCCUGGAGGCUGAAAAUUAUUAUGUUGUUAUAUUUAUUCAUAUCUCUGUAUUGCUAAAAUCUGCCUGGAAACAAUGCGGAGACACAAGAACAAAAAAAAAAAUUCUGCAUUUCAAACCCAUUCCAAAGUCAAAAUAGUAAUAAUAGCUUUUUUUUUGGAGGUUAACAUCAGGGGUUUUUCAACAAAUGGAGUACUAAGGAGGUUCAGACUGCCUGAAAAGAGUAAGUCAAAGCAAAAUACCAACAUUUUUGUUGUACCAUGUAUCACAAUUACUGUUAAUAUACUGCAUUUGAUUUAGUUCCAGUUUCACAUUUCCACUGACAGUCUCCAUAAAAUCAGUGAAAAUUUAGUUACUGGAUUUCUCAUGCCAAUCUCCUGAGUGCAGAAAAACUUUUAGACUAUGUCUAGAAAAAGAUCAUUUAAUAUUGCCAGUAAAACAUCUCAUGCAGAGGCUAGUAAAUAAAACAGUUUCUCUUAUCUAAUUCUAAUGUACUACAUAAUGUGUGAAAUCAUUCCUUGGCAGACAAGCUGAAGGAAUUGGGUGGUUGUUUUCUGUCUUCCUCACUGUCUCCUUCCUUCAGCAGUUUCUCAAUUCUGUAUUUGCCAUGGAACACAGAAAUGACUCAACUUUUUCACCUGAUAAAAUCAGAUUUUUAGCUAUUUUAACUCAAAGAAAUUCAAAACCAGUUGUUUCUUAUAAUCACUUAAGGAAUGAGCUAGCUUGAACAAUUAUACUUCACAAAAACAUUUUCAGUCAUCUUCUAUCAGGGAGAAUGGAUCAUUAUUUGCAUUGUGAAGAAUAUUGUGGCAACCUUCCAGCAGCUGGAAGUGGCUGAAAAGGCUGAGGAACUCCACAGUGCGCUUCAUCACAAGGCAUUAUGUGACACCGCUGUGUGAGGGUAGAAACAGCAAACGUAACCUUCAGGAAAUGUCCUCAUUUGUAAUAUCUGGAAACUGGAUGUAACUCUCAGCACUUGUGUUUCAGAGAGAGUAAUUUGCUGCGGAACAGGCAAAGAGCAAACCUACUGGGAUGGUGAGAAUGGGGAGUCUGUCUGAGCCUGAUUUGUUUAGCUUUCCAAAAUGAAAGCUGCAAGUUCUUAUGAGUGCUAUCCAUAAAUGCACCUGGAGAAAACAUAUUCAGUCUGAAAAAUAACACUGAAUCAGGAAGCAGUGUACAUGAAGUAGCCAUGAUUAAGUUGCAGCUGAAAAGUCACAGGAUGGAGUACUGCCUGUGGUGCAUCAGGAUUCUGUAACUCUCUCCCAUUACCAAUUGGACAAAAUGUUUGACUCAUUUGAGAAGUGAGCUUUAUUAAAUCAUCUAGUCACUUGUACAAUCCAGAAGUCUGGAUUCAUUAACCUUGAAGUGGCAUUUUCUAUCUGGUCCAACACACAUCUGUUUGUGCAGCAUGUGCCAGACCAAGCAUUUCAUGUUCUCAGUUUGAGAAUGAUUUUUACUUACAAGCCACACAUUUUUCUUUUUAACUGAAUUAAGGCACUACGGGGACACACGGGUUUAAGAUUACAGGGAACGAUGAAUGGUGAAUUAUACCUCAGGCUACCAAUACAAAACCACUGGAAGAAAACUUCGCUUUUCAAUCUCAAGCCUUGCAGAAUGUCCCAAGUUUUUCCCCCUUCAAUUUCCUUGAGUCUCCUUUCCAUCUUUGUUCCCUCUUAACUAGCUCUAACAUCCCACUCGCAGACAGUCCACGUGUCUACAACUCACUGGUAGACAUUAUAUUCUCAAUAUUUUAUUACAGCUAUUAAAAGCCAUCACAGGAUUGGUUUGUUUCUAAGUUUCCAUCAUUUCCUAUUUUAAUUAUGGAUUGUUUAGCUGAACAAAGCCAUAUUAAAUGAAAAGCACGGUGAAGGAGUAGAGGAAGAACUUUACAAUCACAGCUGACAGCUUAGCUAUUUAUGCUGUAAAUGCAUCAUAAAUAAUUUCUGAGGACUUCAUACAUUUCUGUACAUGGUCUGUAGCAGGCUCAUAAAUAGAUUGAUAAACGUAUAUUAACCAGUGAUAUCCAAACCUCAAAGUAAAGCACUGGCACAGCCUUCUCUCAAAAGCAUCAUGCUUGUUAUAACCUCCAUAGACUCGUUCUUUGUAAGCAGACAUAAUGAAUAUAGGGAACAUUUUCAAAAUGAGAAUUAUCAGAUCAACUUCUCUUACUAAGUAUCUCAAAUACCUGAGAAGAAUCAAAUUUCCAGAGACUCUCAACUCAGUCAGAAGCACGCACCAUGUCAGCUUUCACCAUAAACCUGAGAGCAGUGUACAGCAUGUAUGUCAGCAACUUAACAGCACCCUCUCCCUACAUUAAAAAGAAAUUUGCAAAAACUAAAAAAAUCUGUUUUCCAAAAUGAUAUUUUGGUGAACAAGUCUUAAUUAACCCCAUGUAAAUAUAUUUGCCAUUUUAGUUUCUAUAUUCUAAAACUUCUUAUCUUAUCCCAUACAUUUCUGAUGCCCCAUGACCUCCUCAUCUGCCUUAUGUCUGCAAUAGGACAUACUUAACUUCUCUACAGCCAUGUAUGUACUAUGUAUAAAGGAAUAAUAAAAAUUUAGAAUUUAUAAACUUAGAUAUUUUUUCCAGAAAUAGAGUCAGUGACAUAACACAACAAUGUACAAGGAUUAAAAGAGACCAGACAUUUAUGGAAGUAAAAACUGUCUUGAAUUAGCUCUGUCCCUUUACCCACCUUGCCUUUCCCCCUGCACCAUCCUCUUCCUCACCUUCCUGCUCCCCAAGCCAGCCUGCAAUCUCCUAGAGCAGGGACAUGCAAACCAGCACAGCAGAUAACAUAGAUUCCUUAAGGUUUGAUCAGUGUGGUUUUUCUGUUUGUUUGUUUUUUAAUUGCUCUUGAGGAUGGCCCAACCUGAAGAGGUACCUGGACAGCUGCACCAUAGCCUAACAAGAAUGAGAACUGAACAUGAAAGGUUACAGAGGGAUAGAAUGUGCCAAGAAGUGAAGGAACACUGGAAAUGACAGAAAGAAAUCCAAAGACGAUAAUGAUGAUUUAGUCUGAUGUGCUGCAAGACCUGAGUGCUGUUAAAUGGGAAAAAAAAAUUGUAUUAAAAAAAGUCUUGGGAGACUAAGUGAGUACAGCUUCAUACAGAACGUGAUUCAGAGAUAAUCACAACAUGAAGGAAUGGAAAAUGUAAGCACAUUACGUGUAUUAAAAGACACAAUGAUAGCAGAGUAGCAUGGUAUGGUAAGACUGUGAAAAAAAAUAGGGAAAGCACAGGAAUGACAGUGCAAAAUCUUCUGUGAUCAAAUCAUUUUAGAGAAAUAUGGUAAAAUAAUACUAGGCUCCAUUAAAGAUCUCCACAGUUGGACUUGAAUUAAGCCAGAGGUCUUAAUGUUAGAGAAAUUCUGUCAAAAAUGUUUUCAACUUUGCAGAAGGAGAGGAAAAAAUGGCAGGAGGCAGAUGUCACGUGGCAGCAAUUACUGCAUUUCAGGGAUUCAGAACAAACAAAAGCAGGAAUAUCCCACUUCAGUCAUCCUCCCAGUACAAUCUCAUCACAGAACAUCUCUAUGAGAUAUUCUUUUUGACAGCUGUAUUAUUAAGAUAAUGCUAUAGGAGACUUGCAAUAACAUCUAAUUAUGUAGAAACAGAGAGGAAAAGAUUUGGAUCAAAUGUCCAGCCACAGAAGGAUUACAAGCCUGUAAUACCCUACAGCUGUGAAAAAUUAAACUAGGAGAGGUAUUUGAACAGUACUAGUGAGGCCUCAUCUGGAAUAACGUAUGCAGUUCUACUCAUCUGGAAUAACAUAAGCAGUUCUACCCAAGGAAAAUAAAUUCUAUCUGCAUUCGUAGUAUGUUUGAGGGAAUCACCGUUUAUUUUAAGAGGAGAUCCUUGGUUUGUAUAACCUCACAAAAUGAAAGUUGAGAAGGAUUUUAUCUAUUUUCCACUCUUCCUUAUCGUAGGGCUAACCAGCAGCAAGAAGGAACUGUUCAGCUAGAGGUUGAUGUUGGCACUAGAACAAAUUAUUCAAACUGGCCAUAAAUACACUUGGGUGAGAAAUUACAGUAUUUCUAACUACUUAGUAAGCAAAAGGGAAAAAAAGGAAUAGAUGCAGCAGACUCAAAAACAAGAAGUAGUUUGGAUAAUCAAUAUACAGAAAUGAUAAUGUAAACGUGGCUGCAUGAAAAGGAUUUGAUCAACUAAGAGGCUUUUCUGUUUGCCUACAUUCUUGUUUUUCAAUUCUAUCAGUCAGGCUUUCUCCAUCUCAGGUCCAUACUUCAGUGGAUCAGUCCAUCUGCCACGUGCCCACAGUGCUGGGAAGCCAAGGAAAUGCACAGCUACCCUGACACUGAGCCUUGCUUACUGGCACUGCCAGUAGGAUCCAUCGUGAGUUACUGAGUCAUGUGAAUUAAGGAGUAAAAAAAAACCCACAAAACCAGGCUUGCCAGAUGUGCUUUUUUCACAUAUUUUGACAAUUAUGGUUGGGCUUAAUCAUUUAUGAUAAUACUUCAUAAUGCUCUAGCAAAUGCUCUGGAGUAUACUCUGUAAAAAAUAAUGAAGUCUUAAGUAACAUGGCAACUCACUCAGCUUUUAAAUUUUUGCUCAGAAGCAGAAGGAAACAGCUUGUGUUUUCUGCAGAUUAUGGAGAACUACCACAGGAAAAUUAGGAACAUUUCCAUUAUUGCUUCUCUAUCUCUUUCUUAAGCAUUAAUUGUCAUUAACUACUGUAACAUUACCAUUGUUAUGAAGCAACAAGACACCCACAAAUAAUAUCUUCACAGCACUAAAGGAAGAAAUGCUAUCAAAUAGUAAUAUGGAGUUGUACAAAAGAAACUACAGGAAAGGAAAGGACUAAUAAUUUGUGUCUAAAUAAAAGUCAGCACUCUAAUUCUCACUGAAAGCCAGCUGUCAAGUCCUGCAUAACUUAACCAUCUACUCCCUUAUUGUGGCUUUGCUCAGCAAUUCAGCUGGCUGUAAGAUAUCACAAAAAAAAAAAAAAAAAAAAAAAAAAAGGCUUCCUUCACUUAAAAAAAAAAAAAAAAAAAAAACCCACGUCAUUCCGAUAGAAAUUUUCCAUCUGACUCCUUUAUCACAACUUCUGGACAGGGUUGGAUAAGCACCAAGCACAGCCACGUGAUCUGGCAGAGCUCAUUUAUGAAACACAAUGUUGAUAUGUAAGCAGUUAAGCAUCUUGUGUCAGUAACACUGACACGAUCUCAGCUUUGAAAAAUGUCAACAAUUGAACAGUGCCUGUACUUAAUUUCAAGGAAAUUAAGGAAGUCUGUGGAAUUCAAAUAAAUUUGCUAUUUCCAUACUUCCUUGUUUUGCUGAUUGGCAGCAGUUGCCACUGUAACAUAAGGUGGAAAAUAGGAACAACUUGCACAGAUCUAUCAUAUGUUUCACAUUCUGUAAGUGUUUAGGUGGGAAGGAGUUAUUGUUCCAAAGCUCAAAAAGAGGUAACAGAGUAUUCACUGCAGAUGCAAGUCUGAGGCACUCACCAUUUCAUAAAAGCAGAAUCCUUCCAAAUGUUGUGCCAAUGGAGACAGUAAACUGACAAGAAAUGUAGAUCAAUGUUCUUUAAACAUUUCAGCUUUUCUGAUAAGCAAACAUUUCAGUCUGUGUAAUAUUGUCAAACUACAGCUGCAGAGAAUUUUGAAGAGGCUCCUAUGCAUGCUUUAAAUAUUCCUAUUCCUUUCUACCAGAAAAUGUUCUCAAGAGAGCAUAACGCCAACACAGUUCUGUUCAUAUUGCAGUCAGCUCCCUGUAUCAACUCUGGGAGAGAGUAUGGGCAAAAGCUCAAUGAAAGCUUGGAAUUCGAUGUCACUGCCUGACUGAGGCACUUCACAAGUUGCACCAGAGGAAACAGGAAGAUAAUUUGCCUCUGGAUUUGUGCAUUAAAAACAUAACUGAUGUUGCAGAGAGAAAGGAUUUGGCAAAACAGGCAGAAGGCUACAGGCAUUGCACUGCCAUUAAAUUAGCAUUUAAUCUUUCCUUUACAAGACACAGCAUUUUCCUCAGAAAAAAAAAAAAGAUCUUUGCAAGAUAGCAGACUCUGAGAUCUGUCAAAUAAUCAAAAAGCUGAUUUCUUGGCAAAGAAAAAUCUUCCCAAGAAAUAAGACUUUUUGAAUGACACAUAGAGAAAUGACAGGAAAAUAGGGAGAACUUCUUGGUUCACAGGAAGAAAUUUUUAUGAGCUCAUGCCAGGAGGCAAAAAUAAUCUUUAAUAUUUAGAAGAUUUUAUAGAUAUGUGGAAGGAGCUAUAUAAAAUUUAGAUUCCACCAUUAAAACUGAGUCUAAAAUGUGCAAGGAAAUAAACAGAGUAAUGCACCUAAGGCAACAUACAGCCCCAGGAGCCUUAGGCCUGUGUCAUGAUUGAGGAACAGCAAUUUGUAUAUUUGGAUCUGUAUGCUGCAUGUACAAAGACUAGCACACAAAAAUUUGAAAGGCAGGGAGGUACUAUCAUCUUUGCAAAUUAUUUGUAUUUAAUAGGGUUUUUUUUCUGCAUGAAUCAGUAAAGGUUUCAAAUUGCUGUCCUUCCAUUGCUCACCAUUGGGAAAAACAAAAAAUAUUCUGUAGAAAUACAUGAUAAUUCAAUAUCCACUUAAAUUAUCUUCUUUAUAACUUUACUCCUCCUUUUCAUUUUUAAGAGCUCCUACCAAGAGGCAAAAGUAAUAUUUAACCAUCUAAGGCCAGUCUGAAAACAAAUCAAGCUGACAGUUUAGAAUGCACCAUCAAUGACUAUUUACUUUCCAAUAUACACUAUUUAAUAGAUCGGUUAGGAUGAUAGAAGUCAUACUCUAUGCUUGUGAGACACCAAGUAGAGAUGUUUUCCAGAUGGCAGAAACCUCCUAUAUCUAGGUGAUAAAACACAGAAGAUGUGUAACAAUACCACUACUAAACUUUCCAGAAGCAAGAAAACAAGCUGGCUUGCAGAUCAUUUUACAAUGCCUUACCAAUAUUUUGGCAAUGGCUUUCCCAAUUAAAAAAAUUAACCUGAUAGUUCCUUCUUACUAUUUACAAUAGCCAAGAUCCACCAGAGAAACUGAAAGCAGGAAUAGCAGUAGCAUCUAGAAAACUCGACUCUCACAUCAUAUAUUAAAGAGAUUGAGAUUUUCAGGUUUCACAAGGACUUCAAGGGAAUUUAUGUUACAGCAUUUGAGCUCAUUACAACAGCUCAAAAUCGAAGAAGAUCAGAAAUGCCAAAAGAAAACAAAAGAUGUGUCUAACAUUUUCCCCAAAUUCAACUUGUGCCUAUGAUUUUACAUCGACAUAGAAAAUGAUAGUAACAACAGAGUCAAACACCUUUGCAUCAAGUUGGUUCGAAGAAGUGACAUUAAAGAUUGUGUCUGCAUAGCUUUAUGAAUAGUAAAGCCUUCAUGUUAAUAAAAAGGCUUAGCUAUGCACCCCUCCCAGCCUUAUGGAAAAACAAAUUUAAUUAAAUUGCUUUAAAGGAACCUAGUGUCCAUAAAUUUUAAUGACGUUUUAAUGUCCCUAUUUUAAUGACUUUUCACCUGACCAUCUCAUGCCUUUUGAUACACUACACAACUCUUUUGAACUUCUCCUGUUGCCUCCUCUCUGAUUGUUGGUUGUAAAGGAAACCCGAGAUUCCCCCUCAUCAUUCAGCUGAUUUAUCCUAGAGGAACAUCAAGAAUGAGUGUCUGCUCUUAACAAAUUUCCAGUUUCAAUUUUACAGUGAAAAGUAUACAUCCCUACAGAUGAGCUGUAACAAAACUAAUUUCAGAAAUCAACCUUCUGACACUUCAUGCACGUGCCUAUUAAACAUUAUUCACAUCUGAACAGUAACAUUUCAGAGAUACGUGCAAUGAACAUCGAUGUACAACUAAAUCAACAUCAAAGGCUAUUAAUAAGGACCAUUUAGUAAGUUGAUGACUAUUGUCUAUUCACCUAGUGUAUGUAACCAGAGUUUCUUGGAAGUCUUAAUACUCAAGUAAAGCUCCAGGUUGCCAUGGAAAGCAGCAGCAGAAGGCAGCAUGGAUACCAAGGUGUAAAGUGAUAUAGGGUUAUCCAAUAGUUCAACAUAAGAAAAAAAGGCCUCUGUGGUCUUAUCUGGUAUUGAUUCACUUCUUCAUACAUCACCUCUCUCACUUUCUGGACAAAAAUAAAAUAAAAUCAAGCAAUUUACAGCACAGAAAAGAUUUUUUUGUGUGUGUGCAAGACAAUGUUUACUUCUCUCUAUAGGAUUAGGCAGGUACCUAUUUGCAGGGAACAGGGGAUAACCUGGAUUAAGUUUCUUGCUGCUUCUAGGGAGAAAUAACUUGUUUGCAAAACACUUCUGAGGCAACUGAGCCAUUCAGAAAGAUUAAAUGAAUUCGGAAAGAAGAGAAAAAUGGUGGUAAAGGAAAAUACUCAGAAAACAAAGAUACAAUCAAGAAAAAUAAUAUACUGAAAUGAACAUAUGGCAAGUACUUAUUGGCAUAUACCUGUUAAACUUCCCCUGAAGAAACAUACCACAUAACCAGAAAGUAAAACAAGAUGUGACAGAACAAUAAGAAAUACUGAAAGUAGCAUAUAUAAAAAAAAAAACAGUUAUAAACACUUAGCAAGCUAUUGACAACUGUUUUCAUGAAAUGUAGCUCCUUGAUCAGCAAUAGGAAACAUUCCAAUCAAUGUGAAGUCUAUGAACUGACUAUUUAUCCACGAUAUUACAAUUCCUUAAUUUCAUCCUAGGAUGCUCAUUAUUAAAUGUUUGAGUAUUUUCCACCUAUAAAAAAAACACAGCAUAAUAACUCCUCUAACUGGAAACAGAAGGUCAUUCGACAUCUUGAGCUGGUAAACUAUGAAACAAAGACAUAUGUCCUUCAGACACUGUGGUGACAACACUGAGAUGGAACAAAUGUUUUCAGAAGGCCACUGCAGGAUGGACAAGCUGUAAGCUUGUUACGGUUAUGCAGAGAACCGUUCACAUGAUAAUACGGAAUAAAGAAGUCAAGUCCUUUAGAAAGCAUUUAUGUCACUGGAAGAACCAAAGGAUCUGUGUGCUGUGCAGGUGGCAUCAGAAACUUGCUAAAAAGAGAUAGUGCAGCCCAUUGCUUGUUCAGUACACAUCUUGUAUACUCAGAAGGUCUUUUUCAUAAAAUUAAGAUCUAAAUGUUCAGAAAAAAUAUUACUUUCUCGUGAGAAUAUCCUAAUGAGACACACAUUGAGAUCUUUGAGGAUGAAAUGGCUGCUGAAGAUUUGUCAUAUUCUCCAGGAAAGCACCUCACAUUCACAGUCAGAUGCCUGCAAGCCUAUAGCAAUGCGUCCUUCUCACUGAUUCACUGAAGGGUGAACCAUACAAAUACUAAAAAUAUUACCUUGCAUUUCUUCUAGGAUGAAAAGAUGAAAAUAACCAUUAAGCCUAUACAUAAAAAGUCAUAGCACUUGUUCUUCUCUUGUCUGUAAUGGCCAGAAAGAUUACAGUUGUCUUUGAAUCAUGACAGCACUUUAGUAAUGGAAUGUACUCAAAGGUAAUAACAACUGACCCUCUCCCUUCCAACAGAUGAACAAACCUGUGUUACCAGAACAUCUUUGUUCUUCCAGUAGAGAGCCAAACUAGACGCAGCAGCAGACAGCACAGCAAUAGCAUGAGUAGCACUGUCUAACUUCCUCACUGCUGAUCAUCCUUGAGAAACUACUAAUUAGUUAGAAACUUUAAAUAGGCACCUUCCACUGGUUUCUUUAUGAAACCAUGUCAUUCAUCUCAUUUAAGUGGAACUCCAAGAAAUGAAUGUGUGGAGUUCAGAAUAACACCUUUUUUUUUUUUUUUUUUUUCUUCCCCAGAAGGAUUUUUCUCAUUUUGCUGUUUUCUUUUCUUUUUUUAAUUGCCCAGAUUCACCAUUUUUGUGAUUGAACACCCCUUGGGAGGUGAAGACCACUUAGCUAUUUAUUCACACAAGCAAAGUGGCUUUGAAAAAAAAUUGUGUUUUCAUUUUCAGACUUCUGACAAAUGAGAUCGACUCAUUAGUAAUUAAGAAGUAUACCUUUAAUAGCUCAUCCUUUUGGCAUGCAGAAAGACAGAGGAAAGGAAAUAGAAUAGUUCUGGAGAAUGAGUUUGUCAAAUGUGUGCGUUUUCUCACAUGAGAAAGGUGAAAUUCUCACAUAGUUUAUUUUUUCCAAUUUUCUGUCCUGCCAUCUUCAUCUGUAAUGAUUGAUCAAAUAUCUCAAAGCACUCUCAUGAGACUAACAGUUCAUGUUUGAUGACAGAAGAAUAAUUCUGGAUCUGCUACCACUUCUAGAUAGCCAUAGCACCUAGGAGUUUAUCAUCUAAACAUUACCCUUGUGACUAUAAAGAGAGAUGUAGGUGCAGGUUACAUUGUCAGUAUGUUUUUGGAUAGAAAACAAGCACUUGCUUGUUUUAAUACAGUACUCACAUUCUAAAUUUAAUUUAAAGAACUAUCUCAAAACUACACAUAAACAAGAAAAAAAACUGUUACAAGAUACCCUACCCUAUUCAUUUAUUCUAACAUCUUCUGCUACUGCCUCUGAAAUAAUACUCUUCAUUUCCAUUAUUUCCUGUCAAGAAGAAAUACAGUCACAUUUGCUUACUGGUGUUGCAGAAUUUCAUAGCCUUACUGCAAUACGGUCAGCAGUUAGCAAUACUUUUAAAGCCCCAGCUGUUUUAGGUCUAUUUCUUUUUAGAAAUCACUUAUUUUACAUCUGCAAAACGAGGUUAGUGAAGAUUUAACUCUAUAACAACACCUACACAUUUGAAAUGGAUUUCUAUAAAACAAAACAAAACAUUUAUCUUAUUAUUUGCAUUCGACAAUUCUGCAUCUAAUUUGAUUUGAAUUCAAAAUAGUUGACUUCACCUCCAGCCCUCCUCAUACUCAGCCAUAUUUUCCUAUGUCUGUAUGUCUUACAGUGUUGUUCAAUCUUCAGUGCUGGAUUUCUAUUCCCACUAAUAUUAUCCUCUAAACUUCCUAAUGAAAUGUAACAGUUGUGUUUUUACUGGCUGUAGCAAGAAUUAAAAUAUAUCAAUUUUCCCAAGGAAGAAAAGAACAAUUAGAAAAGCUUCAUUCUUAACUGGAAACAAAGGUAUUCUACUAGGCCAUAGUCAAAAAAAUUCCUUUCUCAAAGCAGUAUUAAAAAUUUAUCAAAAGAAAAUAUUUUGAAAUAAAUAAAUCUUCAACCUGUGGAGUAUAACACUCAGGAGUCCUUGCUUAAACAACAAUCUAAGUAAGCCAAGCUAAGCAUUUGCAAUAACCAAUUUCCAGUUUAUUAGCAUCUUGCAAAGAUUCAAGAUUCUGUAUUUGUAGUUUUUCACCUCACCACCUCCUGAAUUUCUCUCAGCUGUUCUCAGCUAAUAAAUACCACCUCCAAAUACUUAAAUAAAUAACGUGUAGAUUAUUUUAACCUGCGUAUUUUCAGAGCGGGACUGGUGUCCAAACGACAGAGAGGCACCCAGGUAGUCCAGCAGAGUCUAUGGCCUUUUAGCUCUCACUCUUCCACUUUCUGCUCCCUUAGAGCUACCCUGGGACUUUGCUGACCACAAUAGCUUUGGGCACUCUCACCCAGAGACUUAUUCAAUCACUCAGCCAACAAUACACCUGAUUAAGAGAAAUGGCCUUUUAAUAAUCUUCUACUCCACAAAUUCAUACCCUCACAUUAUAGGCCAGAACAACAAGAGGCAUUUCAUCAACUUCAAAAGUAUAAGUCAGGUUGAUGUUCAUUAAAAAUAUAUAUUCUGCUGUGCUUUGUGUUUGAAACCACUGUCUCUAAAAUGUGUCAACAAAUGAAAGCCAACAAAAAUUGUACAGCUGAGCUGGUUGUGAUUCCCGUGCUUACGACUGACUUCCCUGGUACACAAAUGCUUAACAAUAUAUUUUGUAGUAUUUUCUGAUAUUCCUCAUUGGGAAAAAAAAAAAAAAAAAAAAAAAAAAAAAGAACAUAAAAAAAUCCAUAAGAAAUACUAUAACUGAUGUUGUAAAUAAUAGCAUACAAUAUAUUGAGUCAGUCUGAGUUGGCACUCUGUGUUUCUAUUGGAAGAUUCAUCCAUCAUCAAAAUCUUUCCUCUCCAUAUCCCACUGAAAGCUCCUAAGAACUGCUUGGGCCUCUCACAAUUAUUACAUUUUAUAGCUUAUAAAACCUUAGUCUGCUUAGGAAGGACUAAUUAACCUCAUUUCAUUAAAAUUGUAUGCAGACCUGGCUAUACUCAAACUUGCUGAGUACCCUGAUGGCUAUUCAGCUGCAGGUCACCAUACUGAAACCUAAUUAUCUAAAAAAUGUAGAUACGCCACUCUGUGAGAUGCAUGUUCGAACUUGAAUGCUUUUUGUGAGAUCAGGUCUUCAAAAUGGUUAAAUAUAUUCAUGUCAUUACAGUGUCCAAGUUCAACCACAAGCAAUAUAAGUUCCAGCAAUAAUUUAGAAAGGACCUAUCGAACAGAAAUGAGUAAUUUAAAAAGGAUAAGGAAACAUUUAUAUUUAAUCACAAGCAGCAACUAGAAGGAGAUCUACAUCAUAAUAUUAACUCUGGCUGGGAUUACUGUUGAAAAUUUUGCCAGUAACAUACAAACAGAACACACUUUGAUUAUAGUGUUAAAUUUGUUAUUAACCACUCAAAUCUAAACUGAACAACACACUGUUUUUUAAAUGAUUAAUUAGUAUGAGGUCUGAUCCAAAAGUAAUAUCUUCUAUUUUAUUAUGUUGGCCCAUUACAUCAGAGGAAGAUGUUGGUGGUAUGGCAGUAAAGGACGAACCUUCCCACCAAUACUUCCUUAAAAUUUGUUGCUGUGAGACAGAUGGCAGCAGAGGGGCAGUCUGACAAAAAGGCACCUGACAUGGAAGUGCAGAUGAAUCAGAGGUGUGGGACUGAAUUCCUCCAUGAAGAAAAAAUAGCACUGACAUUCACUGACGCUUUUCAAACAUUUAUGGAAACCAAAGAGUGCAUGUUAGCAAAGUGAGGUGGGAGUGUAUCAUCGGUGGCUGAAAUUUCCUGAAAUUGACUUAAUUUCUUAAGGAGAUGGGCAGAAUGGGGUCAGUUGGUUCCACUUAUUUGUGUGCUUAAAGAUCAUGUACUGAGGACAUUAUCAAAAUGCAACUGAUUAGUUUGCAAUAAACUGCUGUGUUAUUGGCCUUGGAGACUUGAAAAUUUCAGAGAAAUGAUGAUGACGUUGCACACUGAACAGCAAUCACAUUCACCAAAAAACAAUCGCCUAAAAUACUAUGUGAGCACAGAAUUAUUAAAAAGCACUUUAUUAGAAACAACACUGGUUUGGCUACUCUGAGUCAGGGUUAUGAUCUGUGUGUCAGGACAAGUUGAGAGGAAUUUAUGAUGUAAAAUCACUUCCUUCAAUAAGGUCUGGAGCAUCUUAGAAGAAAAUCAUUUUCUGAUUCAGAAAAAACCCUACAUAAAUCUGGAUAAAGUAUCCCUCUGUUGCCAUAUUAGCCCAGAAAAGUGAAACCAUGUCAGUAACUUGGGAGCUGUCUCACACAGGUGCAAAAUGGAGACAUGAUUAUGAAAUAGCAAUCAGGCCAUGUCAGCUAUUGCAAUCUUUAUGAAAAUAAAAUGAGCAGGGAAGACACUGUGGAAAAAGUGAUCUACCCUGAAAUUAUUUAAAAUGUCUCACUCCUAUUCUGAAUUCCAUCAAAGGAAAUUAAAAACUUCUAAAUGCCUUCUCCAGAUUCUGAAGGAGUCAGGAAAACAAUUCCAGAGGAAUUAUUUAUAGGAGGAAGAAAUUUUGCAUUGUAAUAAUAGCUUAAAUAAAAUAAUUCAAGUCAUAAAUGGCAACAGGAUCUUCCUGGGGAAAAGUUUGUACCUCUGGAGUACACUUCCCUUCAAAACAACAAAAACCCAGAUGUGGCACCUUCAAAGACAAUGCAUGAUCUCAGGGCAAAUGGCAAAUUUACUCAUUAUUUUCUAGUUUUUUGUUAUCUGCAUACAAAAGCUUUUCUCCAUUUUGACUUCAAAUUUCUUGUGCUUACUACAUAUUCUUCUGGCUGAUGUUUUGAGCACUUUUACUCUGAGUAAUUGUGUGCUGACAGUUUUCAUAAUCACUAAUUGCACUAGAUGACUCCUGUGAUCAGAAACAAAGCAUUUGGGAAAGAUUAAGUGAAUGAAACCAUCCUCUGAAUCAAUAAUUACGCUGAAGUCCUCUUAUGGACAGAUACAUUUUUCUUCUGCACAGAAUGAUUUAUCCAAUACUCCUUAGUUUCACUGCCAAUGCAAAAGCUUUGUUAAAUAUGAAAAUGUUGCAUUUUUUGUCCUUUCUGUAAUAGAGCAUUGUUUCAGAUUUCUUAAUGUUUCUAAUAAACAACAAAUAGAGCUGGCACAUAAAAUAUUUCAUGAGUGUUCGUUCCAAACAUAUGGCUAAUGAUGAAAAUUUAUAAAAUAAAAUCAUAUAAUGGCCUGGGUUGAAAAGGACCAGAAUGAUCAUCAUUCAAGGAACUAAACUGAAAAUAGUUAAAAAAAAAAAAAGACAAACAAAACUUUUGAAACAAUUCAAAAUUCAAUUAGGAUAGAUUGCAAGGUUGUUGACUUGCUAAAUAGUGCUCUCCUGGCCACAGAAAUGUUUAUAAAAUUAUUGGGAUAGCAAAUGAAAUUCAUAGAAAAAAUCUGAAAAGUUAUUAGCUUUUAAUGUAUAAAUUGGAGACAUCAGAAGAAUCCCUUAAAGAGACACUUCCAGCAGAACAGAAAAACUACAAACCUAAUCAGCCGGAGCCUUCAUUAUAAUGUCCCAAUUCCAAGCUAUUCUCACGUAGUAUUGCUGUGCACACUACGGAGUAAAAGUUCUGCUUUAAAAAUCCUGCCGCUCUUAAUUCAGUUCCUAGACUCAGCUACCUGGGCAUUCGUGGCCACAGAUACCUGUUGAAAUUUUUGUUUUGGUGUUCCCCAGCCUCUAAUAUAGGGGUUCAAGAUUAACCUUCUCAUUGCUGUUCCACAAACAGAACAAUGUAAAUGAAAGAACUAUUAGAAAUACAGGUAUUUUAUCACAUAUUCAAUGUUCUUUCAGAUUUAACUGGCUACACAGCAACAGACAGAUGCUCCCAAACGUGACCUUGAGUCACUAAUGACAAUAAAGAAAUAUGGCUAUUUUUUUUUUUGUCUCAUGCUUAACAUGGGCUACUACAAUCUUUGUCAACUAUGUCCUGUACUGAGCGAUAGAAAGUACUUUACUUCAGACAAGUUGCUUUGUUUAAUAGUGGUCAGAAACUGUGAAGAGAAACCUGAUGAAGAGGUGAGAACUUUCAGAGAACCUGUAGCAAAGGAGUAGGAACCAAAUUUUUUGAUAAACCGUGAGAAUCCACCUUAAAGGAAAAAGAAAUACAAACUAAUUACUUAAACUGCACAUGCUAACAGACUGAACAAUGGGGAAAUCCAAGUAGAACAGAAAAGCAGCACUGAGACCAAAUUCCAUGAACAGUACAGCAUAACUGCUGUCAAAGCCAAUGUCUUGGGGAGCAGUAACCUCUACUAACUCCAACAAUGCAAUUUCCUUAGCUUAAAAGGAAAAAAAAUUCACUGCCAUUUGAUCCGUACAACCUAAUGAGAGCUAAGAAGUGAAUGUUGGCACACAAUGCUAAAAGUUUUAUUAAAUUACAAACAGAAUAAAUUAUUUCUUAAGAAAGAAAUGUGACCUCAAUUUUCCUUUGAAAGGAGUGUUCUAGUCCUUGUACAUACGUGAUGACUUAUAUCCUCUUACACUUUUAUCAAAUGUAAAAGUCAAGGGUCUUGCUAACAAAUCAUAAGGAAUUGAUAAUUAACAAAAUGUUAUUUCUAAGCUGCCAGUGUCAUUGCCUUACACAACAGCAGCUAUAAAAGAAACUUUGCAGCACAGCAAAAUCGAGGUAGAUCUGCUGAGGGACAAAGUUAGUACUGAGGGCCCAAUGGCCACAAUAACUAUAUUGGUGGAAACAGACCUAUUCAGUACUAGGAGCAGUCUGCUUCCUGGGACAGCACCAGAUCACUACUGGCACCAGUAUGUGCUCUCCUGGAAGGCAUUUACUCAGUUGGCAUGUUCAAAGACUGCUCCAUGAGGCAUAUGAAAAUGUAAUUACCUGGAGGCAACCAGGACAAUUACUUCACAUACACACUCCUGAUCCAAAUCAAAAUGCUAAUCUAAACUCACUCAUUGUAACAUGCAGAACUAGAGACAUCCACACAUUUCAGUAGCUAUAGUAUUAAUGGUCUGGAAUGCAAAAAUGAGAGCUAAUUGUAAAUAACUUUCUCCUAUCUAAUCAUUAGCGAGUUUCAUAUCCUUAAGACCUGUGUACUUAAUAAUUAUUCAAGUGUCACUAAACAUAAUAAAUGCAAGUAAUACAUUUAUUAUUUACAAAAAAAAAAAAAAGAUUUAAAUAUAUACACAUAAUGAAUUGCUUCUCCUAAGUAUAAAAAAAAUACGUUACAAGUUUCCACACAUAUUCAACAGCUAAAAGGUUCCAUUUGGGCACCAUACCUCCUGCAAAUAAAUAAGUGAACAAUUUCCAAAGAGUUUCUGUUAUACGGAACUCUUCUACAGAUCUGGCCAUGACCGCAAUUACCAUGUUCUUCUGACAUGUUUAGCUUCAGCCACCUAACCUAACAGCUUCUUCUGUAGAAGCCUAGGAAUUACACCAGAUAUAGGAGAAGAUAAUGAAAACAAAAAUUAAGUCAAAACCUUUCAGAGAAUUAUGUUGAGACAGACAAGAAUUUAUAAGCAAAUCACUAGAAAUGAUUAAAUGAUGGAGCUUGACUUUAAAUGCUGUGAAAUGACUUCAGUACUGGAGGAACUUCAUUACUUUUGCAGCUUGCAUAUAAUGGAUUUUUUGGAGUAUAAUUUCCUCCCCUGAAAAGCUUUGAGAUAUUUUAAUAUGUUUGAUUAACUAGUCAAGAAGCAAAGUAAACAACUGUAAUUUUGGUAUACUAGUAUCCAAAUAACUCAGGAGAAUAUCUGUGAGCACAAUGAAAACUAAACAGAGCCAGAAAUGCCUUGUAAAUAUUACAGUAGUUGCUUCUGCCAAAAUAUUGCCAGCCAGCACAGAUUACAGUGCCAUAAUUACAGUAGAUGACAUAAAAUGAUUAUAAAUUAACAGUCUGUAGUAUGAAGUUAAACAUUAUAUAUAUUUACUAGGUACCUGCACAAAAUAUGAACAAAGGACUGUGAAAUAUUGUAAAAGAGAAAUCACCAGGGAACCUGUUUCUGUUUUAACUCAAGCUCAAUAUUUUUCCACAAAGCUUCUCACAUUUUUCUAGAGUCCUUUCCCAGUCAAGUAGUAAUUUAAAAAUGUUUCAAAAAAUAUCUAAAUAUCUUAAUUUUUACCAAAAAGUUCCAGAAAAUAGGAAGGCAAUACAUACAACGUACUCAACUAUCUGUGAUUUAGUCCUUUGCUAAAUCAAAAGCCUACAAAACGUACUCAUGCUGAUAUGACAGGAGUUCCUAAUAAAUGAGGAAAUAUGGAAUCUGGUUUCUAUGCUGCCUAUUCAAAAAACACCUGAAUUUCUGUGUUGUUAUUGCUCACUUUCAGAUCCUUCUCAUCUCCAAUUCUGGGGAAACUGGAUAGGGUUUCCCUUUCCUUGAGAUGAAAGUUUCUAGGAUGUGUUUUAGGAACCAAGCCUAAGAUUUAGAUGAUUUCCUCUGCCUACACUGCUCAGUAUUUUUGAAACUGGCACAAUUAUUACUUGUCAUUUAACUUCCCUGAACCAAAUCAGAAAAUUUACAUCUGCAAAACGUCAAGAAGAAAGGGGAAGCAGAAACAAUCCACACUAAAUCAGAGGGUGGUUUCUGUGUGAUAGUUCAGUGAUGAUAGGUGAGGUACAGGAAACAAUCCUAUGCAAUGAUCACCAAAAACUUGAGAAGUUGAUGUGAUACUAAGUUCUAUGGAUGCAAAAAAAUGUUACUACUUUCUUUUAAUGAGAUCUUUCUUAGUAUUUGAUUUAUUUUCUAAUGACAGUAUAAAGCACAUUGACACCUUUUUGUUUCCACAUCAUCACAAGUUCUCUGAAGGCUUACAUUUAAAUCUCUCUGCUAUAAUCACAGUGGUUUCAAAUUAGCAUCUUAAUGAAUUCUCCAUGGACUUGUGUCCUUAUGCGUUUUCCCUUUUCUAAUCUCAUAUCAUAAUGGUGCCAUAACUGGGUCCCUUCUGAUUCGAGCUGAAAUCAUUAUGGAACACUUAACAGCAAAGAUACACUAGAUUAAACAGAAGAGAAAUUCAGUAGCAUUGUAAAAGAGCAGAUUAUGAUUUCUGACUUUUUUAAAGCAUUCUCAAAGAAGUCAGUCUCUGUGCACAAAAGGUACCUGGUAGUCUGAAAAAUUCUUAAUAUGGAAAAUAUUCAGCUAGAAAUUUUUGAAUUCAUUUAGUACAGAACUACACUAACUGUUAACAAAACCACCCUUUAAAAGUCAAAUAAAUGAAAAACUGCAACUUAGAGCCCAACCUGGUGAUGCACACAAUUGUAUCAUGGAAAUUUAGAGGAGAAUGACAAAAGGAAACAAUAAAACAUUAAAUGAUAUUUUUGUAGCUGAUGUCUAAUUGGAGACACAGAGAUAUUUGGUAUCUACAUCAGAGUUGCUGAAUACCGGUACUUAUUUAUUUCCUUGAAAGGUAGCUGUAAGCAGCAGAACUCUGAAAAAGCUCACCUAUCUUUAGAAAGUCAACUCUACGCUGGCCUUAGUUCAAACCUAAAUGAACAUAUCUGCUUCUCCAAAUUAUACAGAAUAUUCGGAAUGAAUGGAAAAAACUAAUUCACUUAAAAUAUAUUGAAUGGAGAAAAGACACUUAGAAUUGUACAUCUCUUCAGAGGAUCAGGAUGACUAAAUCAUUGAUGUCAGUAAUAUGCUAGGCCAUAAACUGUUGUGCUAAAUAAGAUGCAGGUAAAGCUCUGUAAUGGUAAGAAACUGUCAUCUCUCUAAAGCUCCAUCUUACCGCAAAAUAUUUUUUAGCAUUGGUAACUAUUUGCAAAUACCAGAGUGAACUGUACUCUAAGGACAAACCAGCUAGAAAGGUCUGCCCAAAAUAACAUACCAACUGAACUGAACCAAGUGCAGGGAUGGAAUUGCAGAGCUUGUAACUUCCAAUAAGGAGUGCACAACUGUCAAAUGCAAAUUGCUGGAGAUAAGAUUCAUUCUGUCUCUGGGGAGAAAAUAUGCUUCUUUCAGUCUUCAGUUUUGAUUCUCAUUUGAAAUAGCUGUUCAUUUUUGCUUCCCAGUAUAGAUACGUCACAGAGAGAACUGGAGAGAAGCUGUAUAUUUUCCCUAUAACAAAGCAAAAUAUGGAGAGGAAUUCCAGGAGAACCAACAAAGUCAUUUGCAUGGAAAGUAGGAAGACUAGUGAAAAAAUAAUUGUGAAAAGACCUCUGCACAGCCACAAUUUCAAAAGACAGUAUUUUUUUUUGCCUUAAUUUACACCGUAGAAUCUAAAUUUGGCGCUUGAAGUACCUUCAGCAACUUCUAAUGCAGAUUCACUCCUAAAUUUUAGGAGACAGAAAAUGAUGUUUUAUCACAGAUUAGUUGGUAGUUUCCCUUCUCCUGUUUUAAAGUCUGUCAAUCUGACCGGUUUUUUAUUAAUUUAUUCAGUAGCUAUGGUGACAGUUCAUCUCUGUCAAUCAGCAGCAAAGGUCUAAGCCAUACCUCUCUGAAAACAAUUCCAGAAAUAUAAUAUUCUGUAGAUAAAACAAUUAUGAGACUGGAUUAACAUUAACAAAAUUAAUAUGUAUUCUCACAGUGAGAUUAUGCUCAUCUCCCUAUGACAUUUAUUUUUGCCAUCGCACAAGUGCACACAGUAAGAAAAUGAAACCAUCUGCACUGAGCAUUAGGAUCACACUACCCAAACCCGAUGAGAGAAGACUGAUGCUGGGAAAACAGGACAAAACAGAUGAAAUUUUAAAUGAUUUUUUCCUCUACUAAUAUUUCAUGUUAGUAAGUACAUAAUAAUGGAAUGCCUGUAACUUUUACAAAAGGGUGGGAUAGGAUUACAAAACUAGAUUAGUGCAAAUUCUAGUUAAAAAUCUUUUCAUGUCAUGUACUAAAAGUCGCCAUUUCAGAGUGAGCCUGAACUGAUGGUUCUAUGCUUAUUUCUAGAGAAACUGGUAGCCCCACUAAAGGCAGAGCUUCAGUCUGAAAGUUACAUCCUCAUGGUGUGGAUUCAAAAGUCGCUCUUCUUCCUGACACCUCAUGUCAAUAGAAUACUAUCCAUUCUUCUUACUCCAUUAUUUUAGACAGGGACAAGGUACAUACAUUUAAGUUUGCCAUUUUAAUAUUCCCUCAACAUAAGCUCCUUCACAAGCAAACUUUUAUUUCUUUACUUAUUCUGAAACUGUAUGUUCAGAUGAUACUGUGAUCAUUAGUUCCUACACGUCUUUUUUCUUUUUUUUAUUAGGCUGGUCUCCUUCACAGGAUUAGUUCCCAAAUAGCCUCUGACUACAUGAAUUGCUCCACAAAUUGUCUCACAGAGCCAUACAGUGUUAUCAUCAAAAAAUAUAUAUUUAAUAAUACAGCUAUCACAAUCAAAAUCUCGAGAAUUAAAAUCCUCCAUGAUCAAAGUUCUGGCUCUCUUGCAGACUUUUUUUCUUUUAAAUCAGCAAUACAUGUUGUUAUCUGCUUUUCUUAACUGCCCUCAAGGGUUACAAUAACUGGAUUAUUUUAUUGUUCUUAUCUAUUAAAGCUUUCCAGUGUACCAGACAAAAUACUUAACUAGCUCUCUGUUGGCAGCCCAAUACCAUCUCGCAUCGAUUGAACCAAAAGAUUCCUUUGCCUUAUCUUGUUCAGUGUAGACCAGAUUUCCUGCUGCUCACUGCUAAAAAUAUUUAGUGAUUUUACUUCCCAAGGAAGCUCUGAUUUCUGUUCAGUAGACUGUACUGGGUAUGGUCUAGGGAAAUUUUUUUUCUAUGUUUGUUGUUUUUAUCCUUUGUCUUCCAAUUCCCAUUUGUUCUGACAAGUUAAGUAUUAUUGGGACCUACAGUUGGACUGUCUCUUCCUUCACCUCCUCUUUCUUUUCGCAUCUAGCCUAGAAGUGUUUGCUGCCUACUUUAAAUAAAUAGUUAAUGUACAUUCUCCUCACAGGUCUCCUAAGCAUCUUUGAACAGCAGUUCUACCAGUGUCACUGUUCCACAUGCAUGCAAAAUCACUCAGAAAUCUGACUGUAAACCUGUAUUAGCAGCAGUUCCUAUCACAGCAGGAACAUCUUCACGCUGUGUUACCAGAGAAAGAACUAAGGAUAAAGACAGAUACGAAGCUAAUAUGUCUGAGAAGGUGAUAAAGCACUGCAAGGCAGCUCUAUUAAUAACUGCAUAUAUCUGAGUCAGAUAGAGGGAAAUAAGAGGGCCACAACUGUUACAGGAUACAUCCAACCUUUUUUCCCCUUACCUAACAAAUGAAGGAAUUACUAUGCCAUGAACUGACACAAUACGAAUAGGGGUAUUUCCUACUGAUACUUCAGUUGAGAACACUUUUCAUUAUCACCAACUUUAACAUACCAGCAAAAGAUCAACUCACUAUAAUUCUGAGUACUUUGGUCAUUAUAAACAAUAUACUGUUGCAAUAUACUUCAAUGUUAGGGACAAAAAACCUUGUACAUUCAAAGUGCAAUAUUUUCUAAAAAAGAUAUCAGAUGGCUGAUGAGAUUUGGGGUUGUUCUGAAGAAAAUGCUGUGCUGGAAAAUCCAAGACUAAAAGCUAAUGAUGAAUUUGUAAAGCACUCAAGAUCACCUACACAACACAGAAGAAGCCAAGAAAGGACAGAUAACAGAGCAAUUCUCAACUGACAGUUCGAAGAAUCAAUUUUUGUUUUUAUCUCACUUGCUAUGAAAUUAAUGAGGUUUUCAUAGUAUAGUAGUGCAAAGACCUACCAUCUGUGUAAAUUCCUGAACUCACUGAAUUUUCCUUUGUCUGGCACCUUCUGUACUGCCCAGCAGUGUUCCCACUUUGUUUAUACAUUUGACAGUCUAAGCGUAUUUUCUUUUCCAGGGCAGGCAGCCCUCAGCUCUAGCUGUCUACAUUGUGAAGCUGACUCCACACAAAUCAACACAUGCUUUAAACUUGUCCUCAUAGUGUCUCAGUUGUGUACUGAUCUCUCAUCUAUUCACCAUGAUUUACAACAAAAUAAAGGGGUGUGGGGAGGAACAACAGGAGACACAGAUUCUAGCACUUUGCAGUAUACACAUUUCAUAACAACUGAAACAGAUAACUUUACGGGCGUACCACUACAAUACUAUCUAACCAUACUCUUGAAUUUAAGUUUUUGAAAUCAACUUAUGCAAAUAUAUAAAUAUUUAAGGCCAGGAAAUAUGGAAAGGGAUGUAAUAAUACUCCAGUCAAAAUGCUGCAACUACACAGAGAAGCUGUAACAACAGAUUGCUUUGUAGAAAUUUACUUCUGUUUGAAGUUCAUUGAUUUUCAUUCCAGCCAUUUAUUUUGCUAAGCAGUAGUUUUGAGCACCUAUUGAUCAUCAUGUUCUGAUGUGGCAGGCUUCUGAGAAAAAAAGUUAAACUAACUAGAACUAAUGAGCAAUUAAACUUGCUCACACAAGUACAGUUGUGGUUUAAUGGUGGCAAGCACAUGACAUGAAGAACAAUGUGUCCAUUUUCUCAGACUUAUUUUCAAAUAAUGCUUAAAAAAAAUUCAGAUUCAUUAUCUAGACAAUAACACAUUAAACAGAGAAACAGAUUUUAACACGUGUUGUACACCAUGCAUACAUAAAUGUAAAAGAAAUUAAGCACUGGAGACCCAUUUUGAUCUACUUUUCUUCUGCUCUUCUACGUAAAUAUAACAUCCUUCUCUUCUAGACAAAAAGAGUAAUACUCUGUCUUAACUUUUCCAUACAUUUUUUUUAUCUUCAGUAUUAAACUGUUGAAGCUCAUUUCCCAUUUCUUAUACCAUGUUCCCUAGUUCUUAACUAUUUUGUGCAUUUGUCAAAUGGUCUUUGGAUCCUACCAUUUCUUUUCUUUCCCAUGAAAAGGUGAUUCAUUUCUGAAGGAAGGACUCAAUUAAGAUUUCCAGCAAAAAUUAUGUUUCAGGAGAGGACAAAAUGGGCACAUGUGAUAUCCAACAGUUGAUGAUUAACAGUGUUGCACUAAAGUCUCUGGAAUCACAAAACAACCCAAUCCUUGCUGAGGGAAAAUUGUAUUUUAAAAGUUCAGUAUUCACUUAUUAUAAUGCAGUUAUUGCAUUACAACCUUAGAUGAAUUCCAGAAAUAAAUGAAACGACAAUAUUUUUCUUGAGGUAAAUUCAAAAACCACUAAUAAAGGAAAUCUGCUAGGUUCAAAAAAAAUCAUUUGCUGAGAGCAAUACUUCCAAGUCUGCAUCAGGGUGGGUAGAAAACAAGAGAUUAAGAAUAUAGAAUAUGAAGAAUAUGAGAUGAAAAGAAAAAAAAAUAUGUUGCUUUUUGGAAGCUGAGGAAAAGCCUGAACACAUAAGCCAAGGAAUAAUGGUUUUGGGUUUUUUUUGUUUGUUUUUUCAAGUAACAUACCCAAAAAUCUAAUGAAAGGAAACAAAAUCUCACAGGCCAAGGCAGCAGUAUUUGAGAACCAGAUCCAAGAUGAAAUCCUCAGGCUACAUGGGCUUUUUCUUGAAAAUUGGAUUGCAAAAGCUUAACAGCUUGCAACUGAAGAUGACCCACUUUGCAUUGAAAAGACAUACAGAAUCCCCUUUAAGAAAAUAAUAACAAUAAUAAUAAAUAUAUAUAUGUCUUGAGUAGAAGGCAGAAUCACACUUAGCCUCUCAGGUCAGAGAUGCAAGGGAAGGAUCCACCUCACGGCAGCAUAAAAGGACAGCCAACUUUUCUAAUAUGCUUUAAGUCUUACAUUUCUUUCUUGUCUAAAGUGCCAUAACUGCAGCAAAGACUGAGGUUAGCACUGCCAAAGAAGAGAAGUAGACAUUUCUUUUAUAUUAAGAGGAAAAAAGAUCUCACAUUUCUUUACCAAAUAUUGGGAAAAGCAGGAUCGACAUACCUUCACAGCUUUCCCCAUUAUUGCAAAGAUAUGCCUUUCACAUGUCCAGAGGUCUACAGCUUUGUAAUACCUCCGUAGCCAAACAGAAAAGAAAAACCUAAUAUAUCAAAGUAUUAAUAAGCCUUAAUAAUUGACUUUCAAUGUUGUUUUUUUUUUUUUUUUUUUGGAAUAACAUUCCAUGCACAGCACUCCAGAAGUCACAUACAAAAAAUUUCCAACCAGCUCUGUGUUUUUAUCACAGAAUAUAGAACCAAGUAACGAGCAGCAAACAUUUCAUUUUCUAACUGGUAGUGAUCACAAAGGUACUGAUUUCUACAUAGUCUUCACUUGUUCAGCACCCUUGAAGACAAGAUAUGAAUAGUAAAUCACCCAUAUGAAAACUGAAAUUAGAGAAUCUCUUUGACCUUUAUAUUUGCAUUUCUUCCAUUACAGAAUAUAAAUAAAUUCAUAUAUUUCAUAAUGGGAAUUGUAAAACUUAUGCAAAUAUUGAUUCAGUACUUUGAUAAGAGAAUUUAUUUUCAAAUAGCAGGAGGAACAAUGAUCAAACAUUACCAAAAAAAUUCCUUAGGAAAUGCAAUCAAACAUGAAAAGUACUAUAUUCUUCUUUGCAGAAAAGCAUUUACAUUGCAAUACCUUCUAUAUCUAUAAAUCAGUUUCUUGUGUUGGCUAGCCAGUUUUUAAAUUGAUUUCUUUUUAAUAUUCAGGUCUUCCACCAUCAAUAGCAACACUUCAGAGUUAAACCAUUCAACAGCUCGCUUCCCAUUUUUUGGCUUUAUUUUUCCCCCAAAUUCCAUGACAGUAGCCUUAAAUCACAUAAAUCAAAUGAACUUUAGAGAGAGAAAAAAAACCAACAGAAUCUACAAACUUCAAACUGUUUUGUCAAAAAAAGUUCUUCUAGGUUAAACAUCUUGGAGAAUCAUCUUAAGUGGAAUGAUAAAUUAAAAUUACUCAAAAAAGAAAUAUUACCUGACUUUCUACUGCUAUUAUAAAAGACCGAAAAGUAGAACUGUAUCUUUUUACAGAUAAUUGUAGAGAUUUUACACUCCAAAGGACUUCUCAUAUUAGUUUUCUUACCUUUUCUCCACUUACAUAAAUGGACAUGAGAUAAAAUAUUCCAUUUCCAUUAUAUCUCAUAGUUUAACAGUUACGUCAAAAUGUUAAUCAGAAGAAUUCAAAAUAUUGUUAUAAAGCCUCCUAGGAACAUUUUAUUUUCUAGUUCUACAUAUAUCUCCUUGAUAUGCUCUAGCUCUUAUUUGUAGUUUUUUUUUUUUUUUGUAGACCAUAGAUCACCAUUCUUAUUUGUAGAUCAUUUUUCUCCCUUGUACCAAGGUGUUCCAUUCCUUCCUUCAUAGUUAUUGUCCACUUAAAUCUGUAUUUAUCCCUUUUAUUCCAUUCUUAGAUACAUAAUUGACCUACACCUGAAAAGUAAAUACUCAGACCUCUUUGAAAGUCUUGUGUAAAUAAAAAUUGUAGUUAAGAUCUAAACUAAGAGCAAACUUAAAUAAAGUACGCUUUUCUCACUGAGGUUCAGCGAAUGUCAUGAAGGAAAAAGGAAAGUCGUUCAGAUCUGCAUACAUAAUUAGAAACUUGCUUAAAUGAAGUUUGAAGAGAUUUGCAGAGAUUCUUUUUUCUUAUAAACAAGUUUAAAGAUUUUUGAAAUGGUUAGUUGGCCUGCAUUCAAAAAUACCAAGAGGGGUGCACUAAGGAACAUAACUUUUAUGAUUAUUUAAUUUUUUUUAGAUUGCCAAGUCAAGUGUGCUUUAAACUAGUCUCUUGUGAAUGUACAUAAUAAAAAAAAUUCUAUUUCAGCAGAUAAUUUUUUCAGGUGAUUUGCUUGCAGCAAAAUAAAAU
rnacentral:lncRNA from 1 species